AGUAAUGUCUGGGAAACUGCCUGAUGGAGGGGGAUAACUACUGGAAACGGUAGCUAAUACCGCAUAACGUCGCAAGACCAAAGUGGGGGACCUUCGGGCCUCAUGCCAUCAGAUGUGCCAGAUGGGAUUAGCUAGUAGGUGGGGUAAUGGCUCACCUAGGCGACGAUCCCUAGCUGGUCUGAGAGGAUGACCAGCCACACUGGAACUGAGACACGGUCCAGACUCCUACGGGAGGCAGCAGUGGGGAAUAUUGCACAAUGGGCGCAAGCCUGAUGCAGCCAUGCCGCGUGUGUGAAGAAGGCCUUCGGGUUGUAAAGCACUUUCAGCGGGGAGGAAGGCGAUAAGGUUAAUAACCUUGUCGAUUGACGUUACCCGCAGAAGAAGCACCGGCUAACUCCGUGCCAGCAGCCGCGGUAAUACGGAGGGUGCAAGCGUUAAUCGGAAUUACUGGGCGUAAAGCGCACGCAGGCGGUCUGUCAAGUCGGAUGUGAAAUCCCCGGGCUCAACCUGGGAACUGCAUUCGAAACUGGCAGGCUAGAGUCUUGUAGAGGGGGGUAGAAUUCCAGGUGUAGCGGUGAAAUGCGUAGAGAUCUGGAGGAAUACCGGUGGCGAAGGCGGCCCCCUGG
rnacentral:rRNA from 1 species